UAGGGAAUAUUGGGCAAUGGCCGAGAGGCUGACCCAGCCAUGCCGCGUGCAGGAAGAAGGCCUUCUGGGUUGUAAACUGCUUUUAUCUGGGAAGAAAACGCCCCUGCGGGGGUAACUGACGGUACCAGAUGAAUAAGCACCGGCUAACUCCGUGCCAGCAGCCGCGGUAAUACGGAGGGUGCAAGCGUUGUCCGGAUUUAUUGGGUUUAAAGGGUGCGUAGGCGGCCCGCUAAGUCUGUGGUGAAAUCCCGGGGCUCAACCCCGGAACUGCCCUGGAUACUGGCGGGCUUGAGUUCGGUCGAGGCGGGCGGAACUGGUGGUGUAGCGGUGAAAUGCAUAGAUACCACCAAGAACCCCGAUUGCGUAGGCAGCUCGCUGGGCCGAAACUGACGCUGAGGCACGAAAGCGUGGGGAGCGAACAGG
rnacentral:rRNA from 1 species